GAACGCUGGCGGCGUGCCUAACACAUGCAAGUCGAGCGGGGUUGAAGCGAGAGGUAACUCGAACCUCUACCUAGGCGGCGGACGGGUGAGUAACGCGUGGGCAACCUGCCUCAAGGUCUGGGAUAACAGCCCGAAAGGGCUGCUAAUACUGGGUAUGCUUGUGGCCUCGCAUGGGGCUAUGAGCAAAGGGGAAACCCGCCUUGAGAUGGGCCCGCGUCCCAUCAGCUAGUUGGUGAGGUAACAGCUCACCAAGGCGACGACGGGUAGCCGGCCUGAGAGGGUGACCGGCCACACUGGGACUGAGACACGGCCCAGACUCCUACGGGGGGCAGCAGUGGGGGAUCUUGCACAAUGGGCGAAAGCCUGAUGCAGCGACGCCGCGUGAGCGAAGAAGGCCUUCGGGUUGUAAAGCUCUGUCUGGAGGGACGAAGGAAGUGACGGUACCUCCGGAGGAAGCCACGGCUAACUACGUG
rnacentral:rRNA from 1 species